UGUACAGCAACCAAAACUCUCACACACUGAUAGUGGGGGUGCAAAAUGAUACAUUAUAUAGGAAAAAGAUCUGACAGUUUUUUUUUAUGAAAUUGAAGAUGACUCAGCAAUUGUCAUGUAUUUACUAAACAAAAAUAAAAAUACAUGUUCUGCUCUGAUGUGAACACUAUACAAACAUCACUAUGUACCCCAUAAAUACGUAGAAUUAUUAUGUGUCAAUUAAAAAUGUAAAAAAAAUAAAAAAGCUUAAAAACCAUUCCCCAAGAAACUUGUAUGUGAAUAUUCAUGGUGGAUUUAUUCACAAUAGUGCCAAACAAGAAAUAGUCCCAGGCUGGGGUGGCUCACACCUGUAAUCCCAGCACUUUGGGAGGCCCAGGUGGACGGAUCACUUGAGGUCAGGAGUUCAAGAUCAGCCUCGCCAACAAGGUGAAACCCCGUCUCUACAAAAAUACAAAAAUUGGCCAGGCAUGAUGGCAGAUGCCUGUAAUCCCAGCUACUCAGGUGGCUGAGGUGGGAGAAUUGCUUGAAUUCAGGAGGCAGAGGUUGCAGUGAGCUGAGAUCGCGUCAUUGCACUCCAGCCUGGGCGACAGAGCAAGACUCCAUCUUAAAAAAAAAGAAAAAAAAAAGAAAAAAAAAGAAAUAGCCUCAGGUGUCCAUCAAUAGAGGAAUGGAUAAACAAAAUGGUACAUUUGUAUAACUGAAUACUACUCAGUGUUCUAAACUGAAUUGUAUUGCCUUGAAAGUCAUAUGUUAAAACCCUAACCCCCAAUGCCACUAUAUUUGGAGAUAGGGCCUUUAAAGAGGCAACUAAGGUUAAAUGAGGUGUCAUAAGGGUGGAGCCUCAAUUCAAUGUGACUGGUGUCUUUAUAAGAAGAAGAGACACCAGGGAUAUGCACAGACAGAGAAAAGACCAUGUGAAGACAUAGUGAGAAGGCCAUCUGCAAGUGAAGGGGAGAGGCCUCAGGAGAAACCACACCUGUAGACAUCUUGAUCGCAGACUUCUAGCUUUUAGAACUGUUGUUUCAGCCACCCUGUCUAUGGCAUUUUGUUAUGGCAGCCCUAGCAGACUUAAUGUGCUCAGCGAUAAAAAGAAGUGAAAUACUAUACACUGACAUGGAGGAAUCUAAAUAAUACUGUGUCGAAUGAAAGAAGCCUUAAACAAAACAGCAUGUAACUGUAUGAUUCCAUUUAUAUGCCAUUUUAGAAUAGGCAAAAUUAAUUUUUUAGAAAAAAUAUCGGAACAGUUGUUGCCUCUGAGGCAAGGAAUUUAGCAUCGUGAUUGACCCAGGUGGCAUGAAAGGAUUCUGGGGGUGAUGAUCCUGUUUUUUCAAUCCAGACUGGGCUUUGAAUUACAUAGUUGUAUUUAUUUGUCAAAAUUCAUUGAAUGGUAUAUUUGACAUUUGUACAUUUAUUGUAUAUUAACUUUACCUCAAAAGAAAAUAUACAUACUUUAAGAUAAAUAUUAAACAUUAGUCAGUGAUAUGCAUGCUGAAGUAUCUGGAGUGAGUGUACUGAUUUUGCAAACUACUCUGAAAUGUGUCAAAAGUAAAGUGAUUGAUGAAGAAUGCGCUUGAACAACACUAUGAAAUUUUGGACUUUGAAGACAUGGAAGGUGAGGGCUUGAAGAAAGAAAAAUCUUAUUGGAAACUAAAGGAAAGGGGCUCUUUGUUAUGCAGUGGUAGAAAGUUUAGCAAUACAGUUUUCUGAAAUUAUAUGGAAAAUGUGUCUAUUGGCAAGGGUAAUCUAGCUAAGGAGAUUUUCAAAUAGUGUUGAAGGUGACACCUGAUUUCUUCUUGGGUCUUACAGGAAGGCGUUGAAUUGAGAGAAGGAAGAUUAAAGAUGAAAUCAAGGGUGUGACUUAAAACCAUUCGUGAAGACCUCAGAAGAAACAAAGAUGGUGCCUCAGAAUACGAUUCAGUCACAUAGGAGCGCUUUAAAUAAAUUAAGGGUGUGCUCACAGAUUUUUUUAAACAAGCUGCCUCUAGGAAGCUUAAGGAAUAUUGCCUCAUAUUCUCUCAGCAAGGGCCCAAGGUAGAGAAGAGAUUAGGGGUGUGACUUCUGCCUAAUGGAGUGAACCCCCAGAAGCAUCACAGGUGACACCCACAGUUUUUAAAGGAGGUAUAUAUGCAGAAAUACCACUAGUUUGGGCUGAGAGAGUCAGAGAACAAUGAGAACAGAGGCCUUUGGACACGGAGAAUUCUGUCAAGAAGCAGGCUGCAUUAGCUGUUCAGUUGCAAACCCAUUCUGCUUUUAAUAGAAAAAAAAAAAAAAGAAGAAGGAUAAUUGGAGGACAAAACAAAGCCCCAAGGGCAGAGCCAAGAACCAUGGAGAAUUACUCUUAGGCCUCGAGACUUAAUAAAUAAACUCCUGAUAUUUGCUUGGAUGGCCUUCAGAAUGCUGUGUACCAAUGACUCCAUGUGCCUCCUAUUUGCCUUCUUUUGAAUAGAAAUGUCAAUAAAGGUUAUACUACACUUGUCCCACCACUGUGUGUUGAGCAUGUGGGAGAGGUAACUUGUCUCUUUAGUUUCACAGGUUAAGAAGAAGAAAUGUACUCAAAGAGCUGUACUUAAGGAAUUAAAACUGAGGAGCCCCAACUGCACCUGGACCUGAUUUAGAUGACAAGAUUUUGGAUAUUGAGCUCACACUGCAAUGGGAUGAGACUUUGCAAUCCUUGGAGGGGUGAGUAUAUUCUGCACAUUGAAGGGAUAUAAGUCACUGGGGGGCCAGAGGAAGAGUGUGGUAGCCAGAUUCCAGGAUAGCUCCUCAUGAUCUCGAUCUCCCGGUACUCAUAUUCCUUUGUAAUCUCUUCCCCAUGAAUGUGGACUGGAUUUACUAACUCGCUUAAUAUGGCAGAAGUGACGAGGUGUCAACUCUGAGAAUAAACUAUAAAAAGAUUGUGGUUUCUGUCUUGGGUGCUUUUGCUGGUUCCCUCUUGGAUCACUCGGCCUGGGGAAAGGCAACUGCAACGCUGUGAGGCAACCCUGUGGAGAGGCUCAAAUAGUGAGAGAUUGAGACGUGCCGGCAUCCACACCAGUGAGCUGCAAGGUAAACUCUCCCCAGCUAAGCCUCCAACCCCAGCCCACAACUUGGCUGGUACCUGACAAGAGAAGCAGAGCCAGAGGCACUGAGUUAAGCCAUGUCUGUGAGAUAACAGAAACUGACAUAAUAAAUGUUUUUGUUUUAUUUUAAGCUGCUAACUUUUGGGCAAUUUGUCAAUGAAACAAUAGAUUAAUACACAGAACAGAACUGAGAAACCAUAAUGAAAAGGAAAAAGGUGAAUCAGAGAAUGAAUAGGACACAGCUCUGUUUUCUUUCAACAAUAGAUAAGCAUAAUCUUGGAGAUGAAGAGUGGAAGAAAUAUGAAAUGACCAAUGGUCAAAUAAAGUAGUAGCAAGAAAAUACAACAGUAGAGAAAGGAGAGCAAGAAGGGAAAGGGAGAAACACUCCUGCUGAAGAUUCCUUUAUGAUUAAAGGAGAUAAACAAAGGCCAGCAGAAGAAAAAAGAAGUCCACUGUGGUCUCUGAGCAGGAGAAGAUGGGUCAUGGAACCACUGAAAUGUUACUGACAUCAUGGAAGCAUCAAGGAAAAGUCAAAAAAUCCUUCAUAAGGGUUUAUAUUCUGGGAACCAUAAUUACAAAGUCACUAGGGCUGGCUCUGAAAUGACUGAUGCUGAAGAGGGAAGAGGGUGAUGCAAUCUCUAGGAGUAGGGAAUUCAUCAUUUAUUUUGGAAGUGAUUACUGGGGGAAAAAGAACUAUUGGCAAAUCUUUAUACUCACAUUAUUAAGCAGGCCAAGGAUGAUUAUUUAGAUGUGAAAUGGUUGCUAGAGAUGAGGUAGUUGCAUGGAUUUAAAAACUUUAAAGUUAUAAAUCUGCUGCUUAAAAUACUGAACAAACUAGAGGCAUGUAUUCAGCGACAGAAAUGUGAGGCCCAGCUAUGGCAAAGGAGGGAACAUCAUCUAUCUUGACAGAUGCUCUUGCCUGGUGAUAUUAAAGCCUAAAUGUAUAUUACAGCUGACAGCAUCAUGCCAAGUAGUUCCUGUACAAGCAUAAAGAAAAACUGAAGGAAUAGUACAGUCUUAAGCAAAGUUGAAACAAAUCUAAAAUUUAAAUAUAGCAUAACAUUUUUAAAAAAUUGAUCCAGAAAAAAUGCAGUUAUAUUUAGAAAACAUACAUCUGGUCAUAUCUGCCAAAUAAGAGCCCCAAACUGUGUUAGGUACUAUAGUGGACACAAAAGAAACCCUGGCCCCAAGGGACUUACGAACCAGCUGGAGACUCAAGUUCUAUGCGUGUAAACAAUUAGAGAAGGACUCCUGAAAGGACAGACAGUAUGCCUGACAAAAAAUAGCAAUGGCAUGUGACCAACAAAACACAUGAGAACACGGUUAAUCCAAUUUUCCUGAGCUGAAAGAGAGAGGACAGGUAAAAAGGAAAGUGAAAGCAACAGUAUCCUUGGAGUCUGGCUCACAGCCAAGCAGAUGGGCCAUGACCCCCAGAACCCAUCUCUCUGAGCCUCUGGUUCUUUGUAAAGUGGGUACCACCUACCUCCUAGGGAUGCCGUGAGGAUUAUGUUACAGUGUGCCUUAUACAGUAACAGUAUUAACUGCUCAAUAAAAGGUCUUUAUUGUUUUACCAAUGAGUCCAGAAAGAGCAAGGAACAAACAAGAAGAAAAUCAAGGGGAAAGCAAGAAAAAAACGAAAGCCAAUGGAGUAUGAAGAAGACUACGUGCAAAUAAAAAGACUGCUGUUCAGAGAGGUAAAGCCAUUUGCCCAAGGUCACACACCUGGGAACUAAAGUCUAUUUGAGUCUGAAGUUAUCCCCAGCAAGUGAUGCCUGCACCCAGAACCAGCCAGGCCUUGACAUCAGAUGCUGGCCCCAGGAGGAAAUGUUGAGAGAUUGUGACAAAGGGAUUACAGGUCAUGAGAAAUUCUUAUUUUGAAUUUUUUAACCUUUCCACAAUAGAAAAAAUAAAUUCUUACCCUAAGAAUCAGGAAAAAUAAAAGUUUUAACAGUUUUCCUAUUUAUAAAGCUCUUCUGAAGAAACACGGUGACCAGAAGGUUCUUAUUUCCCAUAAUGUCGCGCUGCCUUUCAGAUUUUAGUGCUUGCUUCCUUUAAACAAAUUUUUGAUCUAUGAAAGACUUUACUCAUUCCCUUGAGUUUCUCUGUAUAUCUCAAAGUGAGCCUCAAAUGUGAAUAUGUGAACAUGUUCUGUCAGAGUUCAUAUUUAGGUCCAACUUAACCAUUUUGUUAAGCCUGUGCUUUUAAAUGUUUGCAUACUGUGAUGGUCAAUCUUAUGUGUCAACUUGACUGGGCCAUGGGGUGCCCCGAUAUUUGGUCAUACAUUCUGGGUGUUGCUGUGAGGGUAUUUUUAGAGAGAUUAACAUUUAAAUGGAUAGACUGAAUAGAACAGAUUAAUUUCCAUAAUGUGAGUGGGCCUCAUCCAAUUGGUUGAAAUAAAAGCACUGACCUAUCCUUGAGUAAGGGAGAAUUAUUCCUGCCUUUCAACUUGAACUGAAACACCAGCUCUUCCUGGGUCGCAAGCCUAUCAUGUUUAGACUAAAACUGCAUCAUCUUCUCUAGUUCUAAGGCCUUUAGACUAGGACUAGAACUAAACUAUCAGCUCUCCUGGAUCUCCAGUUUGUCAACUUGCCAUGAAGAUCUUAGGGCUGGGCUGGCUAGCCUCCAUAAUCAUGUGAGCCAAUUCCUUAGAGUAAAUCUCGUUCCUUAUAUAAUCCUGUUGGUUCUGUUUCUCUGGAGAACCCUGACUAAUAUGUAUACUUUUUUUUUUUUGAGACGGAAUCUCUCUCUGUCGCCCAGGCUGGAGUGCAAUGGUGUGAUCUCAGCUCACUGCAACCUCCGCCUCCCGGAUUCAAGCGAUUCUCCUGCCUCAGCCUCCCGAGUAGCUGGGAUCACAGGCACCCACCACCAUGCCUGGCGCCUGGCUAAUUUUUGUGUUUUUAGUAGAGGCAGGGAUUCGCCAUGUUAGCCAGGCUGGUUUUGAACUCCUGACCUCAGGUGAUCCGCCUGCCUCGGCCUCUCAAAGUGCUGGGAUUACAGGCAUGAGCCACCAUACCCAGCCUAAUAUGUAUACUCUUAAGUGUGUAGCAUGAGAAAAAAAGCCUACCCAAAAGGGUAGUGAAAAAUAGCAGGCAGAUUAACAGGGCCUUCAAAAAUGAACAAUUAAAUUGUCAUUAAAAGUAUUUAUAGGAUCUCUGCUUCUAGGAAGAUAGCUGUAGUAGUUACACUGUUCCCUACCCCUCUGGCGAAGUACAAUGAAAAAUCCUAGACAUUACAUAUUUAAAAAAAAUAGAAAGACUCUGAAAGGUGGAGAUAAGAUAGCAGACCAGCUAGAGAUUUUAGGGACCAAGAAUAAUUCAAUAGCAAACUCCCUGGGUUAUCUUUUUGCCUCAUUAUCCCAGACUAGGAGCUGAAGAAGGCAGCUACCUGGAAAUGCCAAUGGAAGCCAACCAAAAAAGCCCCAACAAAAGUCUGCUCUCUUUACCAAAAUGACCACGAAAGAGGAAGCCUAGCAAGACUAAAACCUUUCAGACAAUAACCACUUGACUGUAGCCAAACAGCACAGAAAAAACUAUGACCUCAUCCUCACCACCAAAGACAGAAUGGGGAGCCUAGACUUCCACCCUUGACAGGGUGUAAUGAGGCACCCCAUGAUGGACCCCUGAAGGCUCCAUCUCCUACCAGGGUGAUGUUGGAGACAAACUGGGAGCUGGGAUUUUUAUCCCCAGAGGGUGGUAAUGAGCCCUCAUCCAUCCCCAACUUCACCACCACCACCACCACUGCAGUAUCAAUGGUGACCACAUGAGGAGCCUGGACUUCCAUCCCCUCCUGGCUGUAAUGAAGUAUAUCUUUCCUAUCCCACUGGGAUGGUGUCAGAGGAAGCCUAGUGGACAGUUAUGACUUUCUAUAUCACCCAGCAGUAAUGAGGCCAAAUCCACACUAAUAGUUUCAGCAACCAUUAAAAAGGCUACAUAGAGAGAUGUACUCAAAAACACUGAGAUAAAUCAAAGUGGGCUUCUACAAUAUGUUCAAGUAACCCAUAGGAAGAUAGGGGACCAACCCCUACUCCUCCCCCGCACAGAGAUGGAAAAAUUAGUGAUCAAACAAAAGAAAAAAACGUAUACACAGAUUUAAACCCCCAACAUAUCAAUGAAUAUAUUAAAUGUAAAUAGCCCAAACAUACCAAUUUAAAGACAGAGAUUGACAGAAUGAAUUUUAAAAUAUGACCGAACUAUAUGCUGUUAUAAGAAACUUACUUCAAAUAUAAUGAUAUAGGCAAACUGAAAGCAAAGGGAUGAAAAAAAGACAUAAUAUGAAAAUAUUGGUCAGUGGAAAGCAAGAGUGGCAAUAUUAAUUUCAGGGAAAGUGGACUUCAGAGCAAAGAAAAUUACCAGAGAAUGAGAGAGACAUUAUAUAAUGAUAAAGGGUAAUCUGUCAAGAAGACAUAGCAAUCCUAAAUGUGUAUGCACCAAACAGCAGGCUCUCCAUGCUUUGUAGAAGUACAAAGCAUGCAAAGUAAAAACUAGUAGAAAUAAAAUGAGAAAUAGAUAAAUCCAUAAUUGACUUGUAAACUUUAACAGUCCUCUCUUAAAAAUUGAGAGAAUGACUAGAUAGAAAAUCAGCAAAGAUAUAGAACUGAGUGGCACCAUCAAGCAAUAGGAUAUAAUCAACAUUUGUAGAAGAAUCCAAUCAACAACGGCAGAAUACACACUCUUUCCAAGUGUCACAGAGGGUCUACCAAGACAGACUAUAUUCUAGGCCAUAAAACAUUAACAAAUUUAAAAAGAAUUGAAAUUGAUAAACAGCAUGUAAAAAAACUUUCAGCAACAUUAUGGCUAAUAAUGAAAGGCCAAAGCUUUGCUCCUGACUGGGAACAAGGCAAGGAUGUCCGCUCUUACCAGUCUUAUUUGACACAGUGCUAGAACUUUUAACCAGUGCAAUAUGACAAGAAAAGGAAAUAAAAGGCAUAUACAUUAGAAAGGAAGAUAGCAAACUGCCUCCAUUUGCAGAUAACAUGAUUGUGUACAUAAAAAAUCCCAAGAAAUCUAAAGGCUACCCCAAGUUCUGUGAAAAUUCUUAUAUUGGCUUCUAUCAAUGGGGGCUCCUUUCUCUUAAUAUUCUCCAACCCAUCUUCAUCUGGGAUCCUUAAGGGAAACUAUGUUUCUCCUUCUUCCUCUUGCCUCUGUACUUCUUUCUACACUGUUGGUAGCCUGUACCUUGUAAAUUGGCACAUAAUUUUACCUUGUCUUACAAUGUGUACUGGUGUUGCAUAAAUGUUAGGUUUUCUCUCCAUCUGAACUGUAAACUCUCUGAGGGUACAUAUGAGUGCCCAAAGUACUUGACCCAGUGUUGACUAAAAGUAAAAAGGACUCCCCAUACCUAUUGCUUUAUUUACGUUUUUAUUAUAAAGUAACAUAUAUUCUCUAUGUAAAGCAUUUAAUCCCUUAUACAAAUUUCCUCAUAUCCUCAUAUCAUAAAAAUCCUUUGAGGUAAAAAGAAUGACCUACAAAUAAAUGUCAGGAUCAGCCCCAUAAAUGUUUAAAAAUCAAUGAAUGAUCUUAAAAAAUAGAAACUCUGUAUUCCUCCAUUCUUCAGAAUCUGCUAGCUGAAGAACACAGUCUAUAUUUAAGCAAUCUAGUUGAAAAUAAAUACAGUAGUCCCUUGGUAUCUGUGGGGGAUUGGUUCCAGGACCUGUUUCACCUACCAAAAUCCACAGAUGCUCAAGUUCCUGAUAUAAAAUGAUGUAAUAUUUGCAUACAACCUAUGUACAUUCUCCUGUAUACUUUAAAUUAUCUCUAGAUUACUUAUAAUACCUGAUACAAUAUAAAUACUAUGUAUAGAGUUCUUACACUGUAUUGUUUAUGGAAUAAUGACAAGAGAAAAAAGUCUGUACAUAGUAAAGACACAUUUUUUUUCAAAUAUUUUUGAUCUGUGGUUGGUGAAAUCUACAUAUGUGGAGCCCAUGGAUAUGGAGGGCUGACUGUAACAUAUUUUUAAAGAUGUGUGGCACUUAUGCAACAAAAACUAUGAGAAAGAUUUAAAAUACCUUGCUUAUAAAAUGCUCUAAAUCUGUUACUUCUUGUUCCAAAAAGUUAUUUUAUGUGACACCUUUUAACAUAUAAAAUGAGAUCAUCUUAUAUCACUGUAAAUUGGAUAAUUUAGUUGUUUCCUUAGCCUGUGAUGUUUUUUGAUUCCAAAAGAAGAAACUGCUUUUCUGAAGUAAGGAUGCUAGUUCUGUGAUUUCCAUUAAGAGAAUAUUGAAAGAAAAGUAUGGGGACCCAAUCUAGCCAGGUUGGCUCCAGUACUCAGGUUCCUCCAGGACUGCUGGGAUUCGAGGAGGCUAAGCUGGGCCUGUGCCACUCAGUCCCAGUGGUUGAUUCAGCCAGUUAAGUGGAGUCACUAAGACUGCACUGCCUCUUCCCCAACUCCUUGAAGAGUCUACUUAAAAAAAAAGACACUGCCAGAUGGGAUUGGUUAAGUUAUUCCAAAAGAGGAGUCAUCAAGUACACUGUCCUUUUUCAACCCCUGGCAACAACAGCAAAUGAAAAUAUAAGGUUGCACAUCUUCUCUUUACCUCAAUCCCUACCUU